UAGCGAAUAUAUUUCUUCUGGAUUUACGUCGAAUUACAAUAUGUUUCUUCAUUCUUCCAACCCUAUUACCAUAAUCGCAACUCGAUCAGCACAAGCCUAAUUGAUCAGCAGAUUCAGCGCAACCUUUUUCCUUUCGACACUCGGCAGUCCGGUCUUUCUGAGUUCAUUACGAGACAAUUAAUUCUUCAAUUCUUUUUUAUCAUACAAACUCUUAAGUUCUUCAAUUCUCCUAACAGGCAUAGUUGAAAAAGUGCACCCGAGAUUCUACCAUAAGGGAAAUAUCACAUCCAGCCAUCCAUCCUUCUUCUGAAAGUCAUAAUGUAUCAUUCUUGCUGUUAAAAAUAGUUUUGCCAAUUGCCAUAGAAACUUUAUUCAUUAUAUAUAGAGAGAGGCUUGCAUUCAAGUGAGAACCAUCCCUUAAGUGGGAAGGUGUAAACUACUACUGAAUGCACACAAUCUAAUAUUUCAAGCACACAAUGCACAUAAUCAAUCCUGGAGUACAGUAGAUUGUGUGCAUUCCUGUAGAUUCUCACGUUCUCACCUAAGGGGUGGUUCUCAUUUGAACACAAUGUAUAUAUAGUUUGUUCAUGGAUAUUAUGAAGACAACUGAGAGAUCUCCACAAGACCACAACCAAAAUGUUGGCUUUCCUUGUCAAAAUAAUGUGCAAUCAAAUAGUUUAAGAUAUAAAUACAACUUCUAAGGUGUUUCAAUGA